GACGAACGCUGGCGGCGUGCUUAACACGUGCAAGUCGAACGGAAAGGCCCUGCUUUUGUGGGGUGCUCGAGUGGCGAACGGGUGAGUAACACGUGAGUAACCUGCCCUUGACUUUGGGAUAACUUCAGGAAACUGGGGCUAAUACCGGAUAGGAGCUCCUGCUGCAUGGUGGGGGUUGGAAAGUUUCGGCGGUUGGGGAUGGACCCGCGGCUUAUCAGCUUGUUGGUGGGGUAGUGGCUUACCAAGGCUUUGACGGGUAGCCGGCCUGAGAGGGUGACCGGCCACAUUGGGACUGAGAUACGGCCCAGACUCCUACGGGAGGCAGCAGUGGGGAAUAUUGCACAAUGGGCGGAAGCCUGAUGCAGCAACGCCGCGUGCGGGAUGACGGCCUUCGGGUUGUAAACCGCUUUCGCCUGUGACGAAGCGUGAGUGACGGUAAUGGGUAAAGAAGCACCGGCUAACUACGUGCCAGCAGCCGCGGUGAUACGUAGGGUGCGAGCGUUGUCCGGAUUUAUUGGGCGUAAAGGGCUCGUAGGUGGUUGAUCGCGUCGGAAGUGUAAUCUUGGGGCUUAACCCUGAGCGUGCUUUCGAUACGGGUUGACUUGAGGAAGGUAGGGGAGAAUGGAAUUCCUGGUGGAGCGGUGGAAUGCGCAGAUAUCAGGAGGAACACCAGUGGCGAAGGCGGUUCUCUGGGCCUUUCCUGACGCUGAGGAGCGAAAGCGUGGGGAGCGAACAGGCUUAGAUACCCUGGUAGUCCACGCUGUAAACGGUGGGUACUAGGUGUGGGGUCCACUCCACGGGUUCCGUGCCGUAGCUAACGCUUUAAGUACCCCGCCUGGGGAGUACGGCCGCAAGGCUAAAACUCAAAGGAAUUGACGGGGCCCCGCACAAGCGGCGGAGCAUGCGGAUUAAUUCGAUGCAACGCGUAGAACCUUACCUGGGUUUGACAUGGAUCGGGAGUGCUCAGAGAUGGGUGUGCCUCUUUUGGGGUCGGUUCACAGGUGGUGCAUGGCUGUCGUCAGCUCGUGUCGUGAGAUGUUGGGUUAAGUCCCGCAACGAGCGCAACCCUUGUUCACUGUUGCCAGCACGUUAUGGUGGGGACUCAGUGGAGACCGCCGGGGUCAACUCGGAGGAAGGUGGGGAUGACGUCAAGUCAUCAUGCCCCUUAUGUCCAGGGCUUCACGCAUGCUACAAUGGCUGGUACAGAGAGUGGCGAGCCUGUGAGGGUGAGCGAAUCUCGGAAAGCCGGUCUCAGUUCGGAUUGGGGUCUGCAACUCGACCUCAUGAAGUCGGAGUCGCUAGUAAUCGCAGAUCAGCAACGCUGCGGUGAAUACGUUCCCGGGGCU
rnacentral:rRNA from 1 species